CCGCGUAGGCACUCGAUCCCCUUCUUGGAUUCGGCCAGGCCCCCAUGUCGGAACAGUGCGCGGGCAGCGCCGCGCGGCGGUCCUACAUGCAUGCGCUCCCCUUCCUCCUCUCUGCUGCGGUUGCCGAGGCCGUCUCGUCGGAGCAGUUGGGGGAGGACGGCAAGUCCCAUCGGGCAGGGAGGCCUCGUGCUCCCAGGUCUCGAUGCGCAUCCUCCCCAUCGCCGAGAUAAGUGCCCCUUCCUCAUUUCUUAUGCACUUCCUCUCCUUACUCCUCCAUCAUCUCGCUCAGUUCAAAACCCUAGCGGUGCUUGUGAUUUCCGUGCUCCAUUCCUCUGCCUGCCCCCCCCACGCAAAACACAGCGUGUAGAUCUGUGUGAGCUCUGGCCGUUCUCUUUGCACCCUCCUCUUUCUACUGCUUUGGAUCUACCGUGCCUUGACCUGAUAUGCCGGUUCUUGCUCUUCUGGUGCAGGUGCAGAGGCGGCCAUGGAGACGGUGACCUAGGCCUAGGAACGCCCAUUGUAGGAAGUGAGCUUCUUGGAUUAUGUCAGCAGGAUCUCAGGCAGACUUCAGGGGUGUUUGGAUACUAUGUGCUAAACUUUAGCAGUGCCACCUCGGAUGUUCGGAUAUUAAUAAGGAGGACUAAACAUGAGUUAAUUAUAAAAUUAAUUGCAGAACUAUGAGAUGAAUCUAUUAAGAUUAAUUAAUCCAUCAUUAGCAAAUGGUUACUGUAACACCACAUUGUCAAAUCAUGGACUAAUUAGGCUUAAUAGCUCGCGAAUUAGACUCUAUCUGUGCAAUUAGUCUUGUAAUUAUCCUAUGUUUAAUACUUCUAAUUAACAUCCAAACAUCCGAUGUGACAUAUGCUAAAUUUUAGCAGGGUGUAUCAAACACCCCCUUCGUGGGCUUGAACAGCAGCAUCUCAGGCUGCAGCAGGCUUCGUGGGCUUGAACACCAGCGUCUCAAGGUUUUGUGAUGAACUACCAAGACGCAAUGGCCAUAUGCAGAGUCUAUGGCCCUCCUGACCUUUUUGUGACCUUUACAUGCAACAGUAAAUGGAGAGAGAUUGCAGAUGCUCUGCGAUACGAGCCAGUCCAAGCAAGGAUGCAUGAGCAGUGAAAGCUCAUGUUGAUUUUGCCUCUACCAGUUGUGACCAGCUUUUGUGUGUCCUUCGUCUCCGGUUAGAAGAGUUUGAUGCAUGAGUUCCAAAGUCUGCAUCGACCUGUGCCUGCAAACUGUGUAGCAUGGUGAUUAGCUGCUGCUUUCAAUGCCCAUUUCAGUUAGUAUUCAAAGCGACCAGCUAGGUUGUUUGGUAGCUAUGGAUACUUGUUGCAUAUAGAUUUAGGGUGCUCGGAUAUGCUAUAAUAUUGAUGCUCCAAAUGCUAGACAGACGCCUGAUGGAUAGCCUGGUUCGCGGAUGUGCUAUUGUUGUAAUAUUUAUGACAUAGAUACCUCUGAUUGUUCGCGGAUGUGCUACUGUUGUAAUAUUUAUGCUGAUAGGUACCUCUGAUUGCUAGGAUAGCCAUGUUGCUCGAAUGUGCUAUAAUAUUUGAUGCUCCAAAUGUCGGAUAGACCUGAUGAAUAGAGUAGUCUGGUGAUCAGAUGUGCUGUAAUGUCCAUAAUUCAAUUGCCGGACAAACACCUAUGAUGGAUAUUAUAUCCACAUUGCACAAAUGUUAGCAUGUUGAUGAUGUGUUUGCUA